AAGUCGUAACAAGGUUUCCGUAGGUGAACCUGCGGAAGGAUCAUUACCGAGAUAGGGUCCUCCGGGGCCCGACCUCCAACCCUUUGUUUACCUUACCACUGUUGCCUCGGCGAGACGUUGGUCGUCCAUUAACAUAUAGUCUCUGACCGUCUGUGUCUCACGACCUUUCGGGUUGGUCGUCUGUAAUAUUAUAACGUCCGACCGUCGGCGUCUCACGACGCUUUCGCGUGCUCGUCAAUGGGCCCCACCAUAAACCCUUUGUAAACCCAGUAUUCUGAGAGUAAAUUUAAUACUUCAAAA
rnacentral:misc_RNA from 1 species